rnacentral:rRNA from 1 species
CGAGCGGUAUGGAUAGCUUGCUAUCCAGAGAGCGGCGUACGGGUGCGUAACACGUGUGCAACCUGCCUUUAUCUGGGGGAUAGCCUUUCGAAAGGAAGAUUAAUACCCCAUAAUAUGGUGUCCGGCAUCGGUCGCCAUUGAAAGCCUCGGCGGAUAGAGAUGGGCACGCGCAAGAUUAGAUAGUUGGCGGGGUAACGGCCCACCAAGUCGAUGAUCUUUAGGGGUCCUGAGAGGGAGAUCCCCCACACUGGUACUGAGACACGGACCAGACUCCUACGGGAGGCAGCAGUGAGGAAUAUUGGACAAUGGGUGGAAGCCUGAUCCAGCCAUCCCGCGUGAAGGAUGACGGUCCUAUGGAUUGUAAACUUCUUUUGUACAGGGAUAAACCUGCCCUCGUGAGGGCAGCUGAAGGUACUGUACGAAUAAGCACCGGCUAACUCCGUGCCAGCAGCCGCGGUAAUACGGAGGGUGCGAGCGUUAUCCGGAUUUAUUGGGUUUAAAGGGUCCGUAGGCGGGCCUGUAAGUCAGUGGUGAAAUCUCAUAGCUUAACUAUGAAACUGCCAUUGAUACUGCAGGCCUUGAGUAAAUUUGAAGUGGCUGGAAUAAGUAGUGUAGCGGUGAAAUGCAUAGAUAUUACUUAGAACACCGAUUGCGAAGGCAGGUCACUAAGAUUUAACUGACGCUGAUGGACGAAAGCGUGGGGAGCGAACAGGAUUAGAUACCCUGGUAGUCCACGCCGUAAACGAUGCUAACUCGUUUUUGGAUCUUCGGGUUCAGAGACCAAGCGAAAGUGAUAAGUUAGCCACCUGGGGAGUACGUCCGCAAGGAUGAAACUCAAAGGAAUUGACGGGGGCCCGCACAAGCGGUGGAUUAUGUGGUUUAAUUCGAUGAUACGCGAGGAACCUUACCAAGACUUAAAUGGGAAUUGACAGAUUUAGAAAUAGAUCCUCCUUCGGGCAAUUUUCAAGGUGCUGCAUGGUUGUCGUCAGCUCGUGCCGUGAGGUGUUAGGUUAAGUCCUGCAACGAGCGCAACCCCUGCCAACAGUUGCCAUCAUUCAGUUGGGGACUCUGUUGGGACUGCCUACGCAAGUAGAGAGGAAGGUGGGGAUGACGUCAAAUCAUCACGGCCCUUACGUCUUGGGCCACACACGUAAUACAAUGGCCGGUACAGAGGGCAGCUACCUGGUGACAGGAUGCGAAUCUCGAAAGCCGGUCUCAGUUCGGAUUGGAGUCUGCAACUCGACUCUAUGAAGCUGGAAUCGCUAGUAAUCGCGCAUCAGCCAUGGCGCGGUGAAUACGUUCCCGGGCCUUGUACACACCGCCCGUCAAGCCAUGGAAGUCUGGGGUACCUGAAGUCGGUGACC